rnacentral:rRNA from 1 species
UACGUAGGGUGCAAGCGUUAAUCGGAAUUACUGGGCGUAAAGCGUGCGCAGGCGGCUUUGCAAGACAGUUGUGAAAUCCCCGGGCUCAACCUGGGAACUGCAUCUGUGACUGCAUAGCUAGAGUACGGUAGAGGGGGAUGGAAUUCCGCGUGUAGCAGUGAAAUGCGUAGAUAUGCGGAGGAACACCGAUGGCGAAGGCAAUCCCCUGGACCUGUACUGACGCUCAUGCACGAAAGCGUGGGGAGCAAACAGG